GCUUAACCUUGUUUUCAAGCACCUUGUGGUCAUUCCAACUACUGGAGGCCACAUGGGCAUUCAAGCAGAUAAAUCCCAUUUUUAGUAUUGCAGUUAAUAAAUUCUUUAAUACUAAAAGUCAUUUUAGUCCUGUUGGAGGUGAAUUGUGUUGUUUUGGACGGAACGGUACAAUCUGUGGUUUUGCAUACAAUACAUGUUUUACAUUUAAAAAACCUUUCACUUGUGGAAAAAAG